rnacentral:rRNA from 1 species
CUACCUACGGGGGGCAGCAGUGAGGAAUAUUGGUCAAUGGGAGGAAUCCUGAACCAGCCAUGCCGCGUGGAGGAUGAAGGUUUUCGGAUUGUAAACUCCCUUUGUUAGAGAAGAUAAUGACGGUAUCUAACGAAUAAGCACCGGCUAACUCCGUGCCAGCAGCCGCGGUAAUACGGAGGGUGCAAGCGUUACUCGGAAUCACUGGGCGUAAAGAGCGCGUAGGCGGGAUAGCAAGUCAGAUGUGAAAUCCUAUGGCUUAACCAUAGAAC